rnacentral:tRNA from 1 species
GGGAAUAUGGCUUAGUGGUAGAGUGUUUGCCUACAAUGCACGAAGCCCUGGGUUCGAUUCCUCAGUAACCACA